UACGGAGGGUGCAAGCAUUAAUCGGAUUUAUUGGGCGUAAAGGGCGCGUAGGCGGCCGUGUAAGUCAGACGUGAAAUUCCGGGGCUCAACCCCGGAGCUGCAUUUGAAACUACACGGCUAGAGGGUAGUCGGGGAAAACGGAAUUCCACAAGUAGCGGUGAAAUGCGUAGAUAUGUGGAAGAACACCAGUGGCGAAGGCGGUUUUCUAGAUUAUUCCUGACGCUGAUGCGCGAAAGCAAGGGGAUCAAACAGG
rnacentral:misc_RNA from 1 species